AUUGAACGCUGGCGGCAGGCCUAACACAUGCAAGUCGAGCGAGCGGCGGACGGGUGAGUAAUGUAUGGGGACUGCCCGAUAGAGGGGGAUAACUACUGGAAACGGUAGCUAAUACCGCAUACUAUCGGAUAACCCAUAUGGGUUUAGAUAGUUGGUAAGGUAAUGGCUCACCAAGGCGACGAGCCCUAGCUGGUCUGAGAGGAUGAUCAGCCACACUGGAACUGAGACACGGUCCAGACUCAUACGGAGGAGUCGUUGGGGAAUAUUGCACACUGGGCGCAAGCCUGAUGCAGCCAUGCCGCGUGUGUGAAGAAGGCCUUCGGGUUGUAAAGCACUUUCAGCGAGGAGGCGUUACUCGCAGAAGAAGCACCGGCUAACUCCGUGCCAGCAGCCGCGGUAAUAC
rnacentral:rRNA from 1 species